UGUAGUAUGGUCGAGUGGCUAAUACAGUGGUCUAUCGAGCAAGCAGUCGAGGGUUCGAGUCCCAUGGCUGGUG